rnacentral:rRNA from 1 species
ACCGUGGUAAUUCUAGAGCUAAUACAUGCUGAAAACCCCAACUUCGGAAGGGGUGUAUUUAUUAGAUAAAAAACCAAUGCCCUUCGGGGCUCCUUGGUGAUUCAUAAUAACUUCUCAGAUCGCAUGGCCUUGCGCCGGCGACGGUUCAUUCAAAUUUCUGCCCUAUCAACUUUCGAUGGUAAGGUAUUGGCUUACCAUGGUUUCAACGGGUAACGGGGAAUUAGGGUUCGAUUCCGGAGAGGGAGCCUGAGAAACGGCUACCACAUCCAAGGAAGGCAGCAGGCGCGCAAAUUACCCAAUCCCGACACGGGGAGGUAGUGACAAUAAAUACUGAUACAGGGCUCUUUUGGGUCUUGUAAUUGGAAUGAGUACAAUUUAAACCUCUUAACGAGGAACAAUUGGAGGGCAAGUCUGGUGCCAGCAGCCGCGGUAAUUCCAGCUCCAAUAGCGUAUAUUAAAGUUGUUGCAGUUAAAAAGCUCGUAGUUGAACCUUUGGCCUGGCUGGCAGGUCCGCCUCACCGCGUGCACUUGUCCGGCCGGGCCUUCUUUUCUGGAGAACCGCAUGCCCUUCACUGGGUGUGUUGGGGACCAGGACUUUUACUUUGAAAAAAUUAGAGUGUUCAAAGCAGGCCUUUGCUCGAAUACGUUAGCAUGGAAUAAUAGAAUAGGACGUGCGGUCCUAUUUUGUUGGUUUCUAGGACCGCCGUAAUGAUUAAUAGGGACAGUCGGGGGCAUCAGUAUUCAAUUGUCAGAGGUGAAAUUCUUGGAUUUAUUGAAGACUAACUACUGCGAAAGCAUUUGCCAAGGAUGUUUUCAUU